rnacentral:rRNA from 1 species
AUGUUGAUACGUCUGAUCCUGUGGACUAGCAUAGCAAAUGUAAAUGUGAAUGUGAAGGUGGAUUCCAUCAAAUUGUCUGUGCAGGUUAGGGUUGUCCUUGAUGCUUUAUACAGACAACGUGUUCAGAUAUCUUUCAUUGGACAGACCUCUAACGUGAUCAUAUUGCUAUUUUCAUCUUUUGGAUUUGCAUAUAAUGUUGACACCACAUGUGAAUCUGAAGCCACUCGUGCUAAGCAUUCCCUGGUUUGCCAGCUUGUGUGUUUCACUAAUGGUGAAGGUAUGAAUCUGUUUCUUUACUGUGCAGGUGUGCACACACCUUCCAUCACUAAUGGAGUUGAAUGUGGCCGGGGUCGCGCUGCUAAAGCACUGCAUCUUCUGCGUUGCACGUGGCGACUAGAUGUAUCAAUAGUGACGAAGCAAGGUGAGUGGGAGCUCUAG